rnacentral:rRNA from 1 species
AUUGAACGCUGGCGGCAGGCCUAACACAUGCAAGUCGAGCGGAUGAAGGGAGCUUGCUCCUGGAUUCAGCGGCGGACGGGUGAGUAAUGCCUAGGAAUCUGCCUGGUAGUGGGGGAUAACGUCCGGAAACGGGCGCUAAUACCGCAUACGUCCUUAGGGAGAAAGUGGGGGAUCUUCGGACCUCACGCUAUCAGAUGAGCCUAGGUCGGAUUAGCUAGUUGGUGGGGUAAAGGCCUACCAAGGCGACGAUCCGUAACUGGUCUGAGAGGAUGAUCAGUCACACUGGAACUGAGACACGGUCCAGACUCCUACGGGAGGCAGCAGUGGGGAAUAUUGGACAAUGGGCGAAAGCCUGAUCCAGCCAUGCCGCGUGUGUGAAGAAGGUCUUCGGAUUGUAAAGCACUUUAAGUUGGGAGGAAGGGAAGUAAGUUAAUACCUUGCUGUUUUGACGUUACCAACAGAAUAAGCACCGGCUAACUUCGUG